AGGGGCGUCGCCAAGUUGGUAAGGCAACGGAUUUUGGUUCCGUCAUCCGUGGGUUCGAAUCCUCCCGCCCCUGCCA
rnacentral:tRNA from 1 species